rnacentral:rRNA from 1 species
UCAGCGGCGAACGGGUGAGUACACGUGGGUGACCUUCCCCAAAGACGGGGAUACGCGUGGAAACAGGGGCUAAUACCCGAUGUGCUCAGCAGUUCACUCUGUUGAGUAAAGCUAUGGCGCUUUGGGAUGGGCCCGCGGCCCAUCAGCUAGUUGGUAGGGUAAUGGCCUACCAAGGCUAAGACGGGUAGGGGGCGUGAGAGCGCGAUCCCCCACACUGGCACUGAGACACGGGCCAGACUCCUACGGGAGGCAGCAGUGAGGAAUAUUGCGCAAUGGACGAAAGUCUGACGCANCGACGCCGCGUGGGCGAUGAAGGCCUUCGGGUCGUAAAGCCCUUUUCUGGGGGAAGAGAAAGGACGGUACCCCAGGAAUAAGCCCCGGCUAACUACGUGCCAGCAGCCGCGGUAAAACGUACGGGGCAAGCGUUAUCCGGAUUUACUGGGCGUAAAGAGCGUUGAGGCGGUUUUGUAAGUUGGGCGUGAAAGCCCUGGGCUUAACUCAGGGAAGCCGUUCAAUACUGCGAAACUUGAGGGCAGCAGAGGGAGGUGGAAUUCCCGGAGUAGCGGUGAAAUGCGUAGAUAUCGGGAGGAACACCAGUGGCGAAGGCGGCCUCCUGGGCUGCUCCUGACGCUGAAGGCGACAGCUAGGGGAGCAAACGGGAUUAGACACCCCGGUAGGUCUAGCCGGUAAACGAUGGAUGCUAG